GACGAACGCUGGCGGCGUGCUUAACACAUGCAAGUCGAGCGGAAAGGCCUGCUUUCCCUUGUGGAUUGCGGGUACUCGAGUGGCGAACGGGUGAGUAACACGUGAGUGAUCUGCCCCCAACUUGGGUAUAAGCCUGGGAAACUGGGUCUAAUUCCCGAUAGGACUGCAGGGUGGUGCCUGUGGUGGAAAACGAUUUUCCAGUGGUUGGGGAUGAGCUGGCGGCCUAUCAGCUUGUUGGUGGGGUAAUGGCCUACCAAGGCGGCGACGGGUAGCCGGCCUGAGAGGGUGGACGGCCACAUUGGGACUGAGAUACGGCCCAGACUCCUACGGGAGGCAGCAGUGGGGAAUAUUGCACAAUGGGCGGAAGCCUGAUGCAGCGACGCCGCGUGGGGGAUGACGGCCUUCGGGUUGUAAACUCCUUUCGACCGCGAGGAAGCCACCUGGUUGGAAGGGUGGUGACGGUAGUGGUAGAAGAAGCACCGGCUAACUACGUG
rnacentral:rRNA from 1 species